AGCUCCAAUAGCGUAUAUUAAAGUUGUUGCAGUUAAAAAGCUCGUAGUUGGAUUUCUGGUAGGAGCGACCGACCCGACCGAAUGGUCGCGUGUUUGUGUUGUCUCCGGCCAUCCUUGCAGAGAGUGCGUUGGUGCUUGAUUGCAUUGGCGUAGGACCUGCAUCCUUCACUGUGAAAAAAUUAGAGUGUUUAAAGCAAGCAAUCGCGUUGAAUACAUUAGCAUGGAAUGAUAAGAUAGGACUUUGGUGCUAUUUUGUUGGUUUACACACCAAGGUAAUGAUUAACAGGGACAGUUGGGGGUAUUCGUAUUUAAUUGUCAGAGGUGAAAUUCUUGGAUUUAUGAAAGACGAACUACUGCGAAAGCAUUUACCAAGGAUGUUUUCAUUAAUCAAGAACGAAAG
rnacentral:rRNA from 1 species